rnacentral:rRNA from 1 species
UUGGAGGGCAAGUCUGGUGCCAGCAGCCGCGGUAAUUCCAGCUCCAAUAGCGUAUAUUAAAGUUGUUGCAGUUAAAAAGCUCGUAGUUGAAUUUCGGGAUCAAUAUGUUGGUCGUACCUUGGUACGUACUAAUUUAUUGGUUUCUUCCUUCUGACGAACCUUGAUGUCAUUAAUUUGGUGUCUUGGGGAAUCAGGACUGUUACUUUGAAAAAAUUAGAGUGUUUAAAGCAGGCUCACGCUUGAAUACAUUAGCAUGGAAUAAUGAAAUAGGACGUUUGAUUCUAUUUUGUUGGUUUCUAGGAUCGACGUAAUGAUUAAUAGGGAUAGUUGGGGGCAUUAGUAUUCAAUGGUCAGAGGUGAAAUUCUUGGAUUUAUUGAAGACUAACUACUGCGAAAGCAUUUGCCAAGGAUGUUUUCAUUAAUCAAGAACGAAAGUUAGGGGAUCGAGGACGAUCAGAUACCGUCGUAGUCUUAACCAUAAACUAUGCCGACUAGGGAUCGGAUGAUGUUGAUUUUUUAAUGACUCAUUCGGCGCCUUACGGGAAAC